rnacentral:tRNA from 1 species
UAGCUCAGUUGGUAGAGCAUGGCGCUUGCAACGCCAGGGUUGUGGAUUCGAUUCCCAC